rnacentral:tRNA from 1 species
GGGCCCGUAGCUCAGCACGGACAGUAGCGUCGGCCCUCUAUCAAAAAAGAGGAUAGCCGAAGGUCGAGGGUUCAAAUCCCUCCGGGCCCG